GUGAGUGAGAGAGAGAGAGAGAGGGAGAGAGAGAGAGAGAGAGAGAGAGAGAGAGAGAGAGAGAGAGAGAGAGAGAGAGAGAGAUACUAUUAUCAAGAGGAGGGAGGGGGUUGUGGUGAGUGACUGUGGUUUGUAAACAUACUGUGGGAGGAUAUACUGUGGGUCUGUGGGCUGUGGAGAGAGAGAGAGAGAGAGAGAGAGAGAGAGAGAGAGAGAGAGAGAGAGAGAGAGAGAGAGAGAGACUAUUAUCAAGAGGGGAGGGGGCUGCGGUGAGUGACUGUGGUUUAUAAACAUACUGUGGGUCUGGAGAGAGAGAGAGAGAGAGAGAGAGAGAGAGACUAUUAUUAAGGAACAGGUCUGUAAAUAUGCUGCAAGAUGAGUCAGAGAUGAAAUAGAGAGGGAGUAAUAAAGAGGAAGUCAGUAUAGUGUCAUUGCAUAAACAUCCAAAAUUUGUUGUUGUUAGUUAGUCUUGUUUGACUCAGAGAUCCCGGCAACUUGGGCACUGAAGAUGCUGUGGUGCCUGGCCUAGUCCUGUCCUCUCUUCUUUCUUAACUGCUGUCAAAAGAGUGAAUGAGUGAGUUUAUGAUGCAAAAAGGUUUUAUUCUAUAUUUAAAAAUUUUACUCACAUUUGUACUUAAAGAUUGUGUAUGUCUAAAAAGUAUAUAAUAAAAUAUAAUAUAUGAAAGCACAUUAAAUUCUGAUACUAUUGCAAUCUGGUUCUUCCUGAGAUGAAUGUGUGAGGUGUCCUUGGUGUGACCUGGUCCACCUCAUUCUUCCUCUCAUGUCUGUGAUUGUAUGGCUGUCUGUACUCGCUGAUAAUAAAGGGAAAAACAUUUA